UGGGGAAUAUUGCACAAUGGGCGCAAGCCUGAUCCAGCAACGCCGCGUGAACGAAGAAGGUCUUCGGUUCGUAAAGUUCUGUUGCAGGGGAAGAUAAUGACGGUACCCUGUGAGGAAGCCCCGGCUAACUACGUGCCAGCAGCCGCGGUAAUACGUAGGGGGCUAGCGUUAUCCGGAUUUACUGGGCGUAAAGGGUGCGUAGGUGGUCUUUCAAGUCGGUGGUUAAAGGCUACGGCUCAACCGUAGUUAGCCUCCGAAACUGGAAGACUUGAGUGCAGGAGAGGAAAGUGGAAUUCCCAGUGUAGCGGUGAAAUGCGUAGAUAUUGGGAGGAACACCAGUAGCGAAGGCGGCUAUCUGGACUGCAACUGACACUGAGGUACGAAAGCGUGGGGAGCAAACAGG
rnacentral:rRNA from 1 species